rnacentral:rRNA from 1 species
AGUGAACGCUGGCGGCGUGCUUAACACAUGCAAGUCGAACGAGAACGGGCUAUAGCUUGCUAUAGUUGUCAGCUAAGUGGCGCACGGGUGAGUAAUGUAUAGGUAAUAUGCCUCUUACUAAGGGAUAACAAAUGGAAACGUUUGCUAAUACCUUAUACUCCUUAUUAACAGAAGUUAAUAAGUGAAAGAUUUAUUGGUAAGAGAUUAGCCUGUAUUGUAUCAGUUAGUUGGUGGGGUAAUGGCUUACCAAGACUAUGACACAUAACUGGUUUGAGAGGAUGAUCAGUGACACUGGAACUGAGACACGGUCCAGACUCCUACGGGAGGCAGCAGUGGGGAAUAUUGCACAAUGGACGAAAGUCUGAUGCAGCAACGCCGCGUGGAGGAUGACACAUUUCGGUGCGUAAACUCCUUUUAUAUGAGAAGAUAAUGACGGUAUUAUAUGAAUAAGCACCGGCUAACUCCGUGCCAGCCGCCGCGGUAA